UUUGGUUCUAGUUGGGCAGUUCCUGUCGAAUCACAGGAGGAGGAGGAGUGUAAUCAUUGCGCAGUGUGUUUCGGCUUCUUGAUUAACAGUUGCAUUGGGCCUCUGAUGUAUGGGAAAAAAAGCUAACCCCAGCUUGAACACUAGAGAAAACUGCUGCAAUUAUGUAAGCUUUACCCUAAUUGCUUGGUUGAAUGAGAGCUGGAAGCGAGGGUGACAGAGUGGUGCUGCUAACUUGGCAAUUUGCAAGGGUCACUGUGGUUAAUUGGUGUCUGCAGAGCAGAACCAUUUUUCUAUGGUGAUCAAUUUAAGAUAUUGUCAUUUGUUGAAAUGAACCAAUGCCCUUGACUUCUUGGAAGAGGUGGAGGGAAUUGAUCACGUGAGAAUGUACAGUAAUCCAUUUCAGACUCUGGCUUUUGUGGAUUUAGACAAGGCUCCCCUGGAGGAAGGAAUGCCAGGGCAAGAAUCAACCAGAUUGAGAUCUUUGUGCCUGGCAGUCUGACAUCACUUGUAAACUCUGCCAAAAUUCCUUUGGAAGCAGAUGUUCCUAGAGGGGGAAUGGUCAGAAUACAAACUAGCGUCUCCGCCUCUCAGAACAAGCAUCACUUCCACGUGGAUGGCCUCCUCAGCCUCCCACUUCCAGUGCUUACUGGAGUCUAUUCCAAAUAGAUCUCCAUCUAUUGCAAAGCUCCCAUUAAAAAUUCUGGCUAUGGGGGCUGGCCCCGUGGCCGAGUGGUUAAGUUCGCGCGCUCCGCUGCAGGCGGCCCAGUGUUUCGUCGGUUUGAAUACUGGCCGCGGACAUGGCACUGCUCAUCAAGCCACACUGAGGCGGCGUCCCACAUGCCACCACUAGAAGGACCCACAACUAAGAAUGUACAACUAUAUACCGGGGGGCUUUGGGGAGAAAAAGGAA
rnacentral:lncRNA from 1 species